rnacentral:lncRNA from 1 species
AAGAAAUUUAGGUUUCACUCUGGAGAAAAAUCUGAGAAUGGUUCUAGGAGCUUUUCACCAUUGAGUCUCUAGGUUUGCCAAACAGAAGCUAUGGGGUCCUCUUCUCUUGUACUAACAAGCUAGACCCCAAGCAGUGAAACUGCUGCUAUAGAACAAAGGAGAUCUCCAAACCCAUUCUGUUCUAAAUCCAUAAUCCUGAUGGCUGAAGGCACCGAAGCUAGAAGCAGUGUCUUGUGGCUUAAACUUCAGGCGCUUGUCCCUGGACCCAGGACGCUUCCAGCAACGCUGCCGGCUUGCCGAGGCUCAUGGCAAUCAGAUCCUCUUUCUGAAUCUGAGUUUUCUCACCUAUAAAAACCCAGCUAAAAAUCUGCUAGAAUUCAGCAAUAGGUCCCCAGGAAAAUGACUGCUUUGAAAAUGUUUGGCUGAAAUCAGAUACUACUUCUCACCUACUACAAUGGCUAAAGCAAACAAGACUAGCAAUACCAAUACUGUAAUUGGAGGAGAUGUGGAGCAGCUGGAACUCUCAAAUACUGCUGUGAUGGAAUGAUAAAUGGUGCAAACCUUUUGCUAAAUUGUUUGGCAGUUCCCAAUAAUGUUAAAUUCGUUCACCUACCCUAUGACCCAUCAAUUUCACUCCCAGGUAUUUAUCCAAGAGAACUGAAAAGAUACAUCCAUCCAGAUAAAUCUAAAAGAAUAUUCAUUGCAACUUUACUCAUAAGAG